rnacentral:misc_RNA from 1 species
UCCAGUGGAAGGUGUAGAUCAUUCAUAGAGCUGCCUAAGCUAGUAAUGGAUGUAGAGGAUACGUCCAAUGAGUGAAACACUUGCACACUUGGAUCAGGAAUGGUGACUCCAUGCUUUUCACACCACCUUGAUAUCAGGUGUUUCAUGGCAGUGUUUGGGGUCAAUGAACAGUGAGGCAGUUUCACUUUUGUUUUUGGACAUGCGUUAUUACCAUCAUCAAACCACUUUUGUAUCCACAUCCUUUCAAA